AACAUCUAAGUACCCCGAGGAAAAGAAAUCAACCGAGAUUCCGAAAGUAGCGGCGAGCGAAAUUGGACUAGCCCUUAAGCUUUACACGCGUUAGACGAACGGUCUGGAAAGUCCGACGAUACAGGGUGAUAGUCCCGUAGUUGACGACGUGUGUUCAGUGAAAUCGAGUAGGGCGGGACACGUGAUAUCCUGUCUGAAUAUGGGGGGACCAUCCUCCAAGGCUAAAUACUACUGACUGACCGAUAGUGAACCAGUACCGUGAGGGAAAGGCGAAAAGAACCCCUGUGAGGGGAGUGAAAUAGAACCUGAAACCGUGUACGUACAAGCAGUAGGAGCAGGCUUUGUCCUGUGACUGCGUACCUUUUGUAUAAUGGGUCAGCGACUUAUAUUCAGUGGCAAGGUUAACCAUCUAGGGGAGCCGUAGGGAAACCGAGUCUUAACUGGGCGUUCAGUCUCUGGAUAUAGACCCGAAACCAGGUGAUCUAGCCAUGGGCAGGUUGAAGGUUGAGUAACAUCAACUGGAGGACCGAACCGACUAAUGUUGAAAAAUUAGCGGAUGACUUGUGGCUAGGGGUGAAAGGCCAAUCAAACCUGGAGAUAGCUGGUUCUCCCCGAAAGCUAUUUAGGUAGCGCCUCGGACGAAUACUACUGGGGGUAGAGCACUGUUAAGGCUAGGGGGUCAUCCCGACUUACCAACCCUUUGCAAACUCCGAAUACCAGUAAGUACUAUCCGGGAGACACACGGCGGGUGCUAACGUCCGUCGUGGAGAGGGAAACAACCCAGACCGCCAGCUAAGGUCCCAAAUUACUACUAAGUGGGAAACGAUGUGGGAAGGCUCAGACAGCCAGGAUGUUGGCUUAGAAGCAGCCAUCAUUUAAAGAAAGCGUAAUAGCUCACUGGUCGAGUCGGCCUGCGCGGAAGAUGUAACGGGGCUAAGUAGUAAACCGAAGCUGCGGCAAUGUGCUUUUGCACAUUGGGUAGGGGAGCGUUCUGUAAGCGGUUGAAGGUGUGUGGUAACGCAUGCUGGACGUAUCAGAAGUGCGAAUGCUGACAUGAGUAACGAUAAAGGGGGUGAAAAACCUCCUCGCCGGAAGACCAAGGGUUCCUGUCCAACGUUAAUCGGGGCAGGGUAAGUCGACCCCUAAGGCGAGGCCGAAAGGCGUAGUCGAUGGGAAACGGGUUAAUAUUCCCGUACUUCUUACAAUUGCGAUGGGGGGACGGAGAAGGCUAGGUGGGCCUGGCGACGGUUGUCCAGGUUCAAGUGCGUAGGCUUAAGAGUUAGGUAAAUCCGGCUCUUUUUAAGGCUGAGACACGACGUCGAGCACCUACGGGUGUGAAGUCAUUGAUGCCAUGCUUCCAGGAAAAGCCUCUAAGCUUCAGAUUGUAAGGAAUCGUACCCCAAACCGACACAGGUGGUCGGGUAGAGAAUACCAAGGCGCUUGAGAGAACUCGGGUGAAGGAACUAGGCAAAAUGGUACCGUAACUUCGGGAGAAGGUACGCUCUCGACGGUGAAGUCCCUCGCGGAUGGAGCUAUUGAGAGUCGCAGAUACCAGGUGGCUGCAACUGUUUAUUAAAAACACAGCACUGUGCAAAAUCGUAAGAUGACGUAUACGGUGUGACGCCUGCCCGGUGCCGGAAGGUUAAUUGAUGG
rnacentral:rRNA from 1 species